rnacentral:rRNA from 1 species
GACGAACGCUGGCGGCGUGCCUAACACAUGCAAGUCGAGCGAGGGGAGUUCUUCGGAACAAACCUAGCGGCGGACGGGUGAGUAACACGUGGGCAACCUGCCUCAUAGAGGGGAAUAGCCUUCCGAAAGGAAGAUUAAUACCGCAUGAGAUUGUAGCUUCGCAUGAAGCAGCAAUUAAAGGAGCAAUCCGCUAGGAGAUGGGCCCGCGGCGCAUUAGCUAGUUGGUGAGGUAACGGCCCACCAAGGCGACGAUGCGUAGCCGAGCUGAGAGGGUGAUCGGCCACAUUGGGACUGAGACACGGCCCAGACUCCUACGGGAGGCAGCAGUGGGGAAUAUUGCACAAUGGGGGAAACCCUGAUGCAGCAACGCCGCGUGAGUGAUGACGGCCUUCGGGUUGUAAAGCUCUGUCUUCAGGGACGAUAAUGACGGUACCUGAGGAGGAAGCCACGGCUAACUACGUGCCAGCAGCCGCCGUAAUAC